AUUGUUUACGCUCUUGUUUCCCCCGCUGGGGCUGAUCUAAGUUAAUACGUUUUCUUGUAAAAAUUACAGAAGCUAGAUGUAAUGAAUCAAAUUAUUUGUACUGAAACAAUACUGGAGAUAAUUCUAAGCGCAAAUUUUGCGUAGAAACUAGUUAAAUUAGUAAAUACAGAACCUGUUUCGUUGCGCUGCAAAUGUCACAGUGGCGUCGUAUUUGACAUGCCAGCUCAAUUUUCGAAGUUUUUGGAUGAAAUUGCACAAUCAAAUUUCUCUUAGCCUUUUCAAACACAUACUUUGGACCUUCUUGAAUCAAACUUAUCUCCUAUAAUAAUUUUAGCACUUACCUACGUUUGUUGUGCAGGUGGGGAGGAGCAAGUGCUGCAUUAACCUGUUUUUAUACGUUUUCAUAGCGAAAACAUCAGUUUUUAACCCAAUUAAACAUUUUUUAAAACCUUUUGUGCUCAAAAAUUGUACUGACUGUCUUCAUUUUCAAACUUAUUCUCCUGGAUACCUACCUGCCUUAAAAAGAUAUUUUUGCUCUCUGCCUACGCCCUACAUCAUUUAUUUUAUUUUUACAAUAAUAUCUGAAUUGGGACCUUAAUGGCAUCCCAGAAUAACAACAUUCCCUAAAAGAUAAAGGAGACAAGAAUGCUGGACUGGCAUUGAUGCCUUGAAAAUGCUGGGCAAGUGGGUGCACCCACUUGGGCAGGCCUGAAAUUGGAGGCUGUUCGGGGAGGUGGCCAUGGGGCAUGCAGCAGUGAGCAUCCUUGAAUUACCAAAAAAGCGAUACAAGUUUUAAAACAUAUAGCUUACAUAGUCUAAUAAUUUACAACUGACAAGAGUUUGAAAUAUCAUUAAAAAGUGCCACAAUUUGUGUCACAUUCAGAAAUUACAUGCCCUCUCUUUACCUCCCCUGAAUGUCCACCCUGAAAUCAACCACCCAGGUUUUGUUCCAAGCUACCUAACUGCCACACUCUGCCUGCCUAAUAAUCUAAUUUUAGGGCCUUGGCCACUGAUUUAUCACAAUCUACUCUUCAGAUUAAACACUGAACACAUAAUUUAUUUGCAGUUUUGUCCUUUCAGCUAACAGCUCGGAGUUGACAGAUUGAGUGAUGUCUCUGGCCUCAAGAAGUAAAGUUAUUCAAGCCUACAAAAAUCUGCUCCAUUUGGGCAAGAAUUAUCCAAAGGGUUAUGAUUUCUUCCGGCAACGCCUGAAGUCCGCGUUCAUGAAAAACAAGGAUGUCACCGAUCCUGCUCAGAUCGAACAGCUGCUCUGCAAAGCCGAGUUCGUCUCUAAGGAGCUGGAGGCGCUCUACAUGCUGCGGAAGUAUCGCACUCUCAAGAAACGGUACUACGAAGACGCACCGCCCAAGAGUUCGACCUAAUCUCAUGUAUUUGCGCUUGUUUUUCAAGCAGUACUCAACGUAACGCUGAAUGUUUCAGCGUAUAUGGUACCGGCAGUAAAUAACACAAUGCAAUGUCCAGCAGCAUUGUUAUCCCAAAGCAAGUGGUAUAGUUGGUAAUAAUACUCGUUAAGUUUUAAUUACAAAGGGACGUUUUGUACCCAUGUUGUCGAGGGUUGUUUUCAUGUGAAUGUUUUAUAUAGAAUAGCGCAAAUGACUGUUCUUGCCAGGAUACGAGGGGCGAGCUGUGUUUUGAGUACGUAUGAAUGGGCAUGACUGGAAGCGCCUGCUGUAUUUUCUUGGAUGCGGCAUUCUGGCGUCCUGGCGCAGCACAGAAACUGCAUUUCACCGGGGCAUCUGGUCGCCUGUACGCUCACAAGCUGUGCUCAAGCUGUUGAACACGUGAUGUUCCAUUAUGAGUGCAUGAUCCACAAUAUAUGGAAUAAAUAUAUUAUUGGUAGAAAA